rnacentral:lncRNA from 1 species
AUGCGCCGGCUUACCAGAGAGUGUGUGUCAGAGCAUCAUCCUCUGUACAGCUCCUUCUGCCAGUUCCUCUCUGCAGCCUUUCUCGUUGUGGACCAGGGGGAUCUCGAGAGGCUGAAGGACGCUUACACCUUCUGUGGAAUCUCUCCUGCCAAUCCAACCAAGCAGCACAUGAGAGAUCACUGCAGGACACAGGUGCCACAGCCCAGAGAACUGCUGCAGAGAGUGGAAGACGUCCUCCAUCACUUCCACCUGGCAAAGGACAUGAAUGAUGUGCUCCUCUAUAAGGCCUCCAUGUUCAAGGUGUGGAGGAUUCAGCGGAUACACAUCUUAAGAGGCUGCUUGAGCGACCCUGAGGUGGAGGAGGGGAUCCUCUACAGAUACGGUGGCACCUUGCAGCUUAAUUACACCAAGGGCGAAGGAGCGGCUGUACCUGUUUGGAUCCCUGUUAGAGGCACGUCUCAGCAGGAGGGCUUCCACUGUCACCAGGCCCAGUGGGUGACUGGCAACCGGGUGUCCACUGAGCUCUUCCAGGCCCAGGCCAUGACUGGAGUGGUGCGCUGGAACUUUCAGAGGCUUGUGGACCUGAAGCAGCCUGGUGUGGAGCUGCCAGCUGUGUUUGACCCCCUGCUCAUUUGGGAACUGAACGCAGCCUGUCAAAGGGUGACAGGGGUGCGAAAAUACCCAGCUCUGCACAUCUCAAACAGGGACACAGGGGAGAGAUUCGGGCUGCAGUACGUGGAGCCAGGCUGUCGUCCUGUGGUUUUAAACUGGGACAAACACAGGACACAGCACAACACCUCUGCUGCUGUAACCGUGGCAACACAGCUGCACUCCUCUGCCCUGGAUGAAGUGCAGGACAUUGUUGCGGGCACAGACUCUCAGGAGACCAGUGAUGGCACUGUCCAGGACAACCCAGUGGGAGCAGUGCCGAUCCUCAGUUUCCAGCCACCUAUGCCAGCAUCUGCCACAGCCAAAGAAGAGCCUCACCCUUUGAUGGAUACAGGUUACCCACCUACCAUUCCUCAUGCACAACAGUUAACUGUUAAAAACAACUUCACACAUGGCUACUGUAUACAAUUAGCUUGUAAUAAUAAUAUAAACAAUAUAAUAAACAUAUGCUUUAUUCCUUAGACCUGCGAGGGGUAGCGCCACUGCCCAUAUCCUCCUCUCCUCGAGCCGCCCGCACUGGACCCAUUAAGACGGGAGGCCUGGUUCAAGUCCUGGACCACGGCCGGUGGACGGCCCCCAUGAGAGCAGCCAUCGAUGGGCUUCUGGCUAAACAUCAUGGAGCCAAAGCUCUUCUGAAGAGGGUGGAUGCGGAAUAUGCUGCCAUGGUGCAGAGGGCGUGCACGGAUCCCAACAGCCUCCUUCAUCCGACCACAGGCCAGCAUAUCUCCAGAUAUGUCAAGCAUCUGGCCAAGCUGAAAAACACCAGCUCCUCUCUCAACACCAGCCCAGAGAAGGUUUUAGAGACUCAGCAGCUGUGGCAGAGUUUGACCACAGGCAGCAAAACAGUGUGUGUACCCGUCACAGCCCUGCCUCCUGCGACCGUCAACCCUCCAGCUGUGGCUCCCCCCCCGGAGGAGUCACUGAGCCGGGCCACAGUGGAGAAGAUCGUGUCAGAGAUCCUCCAGAAACAGCAGCAACAACCAAGGCAGGAGAGAAAGGUGCCCAGAAACUGUUUGUCCUGUGGUCAGCCAAAGUCCAGGUACCUUGGCGAUGGAUCCACUGUUCACUUUUUUUUUCAGUCCCCUGAGGUGAAGUACUUUUACUGCUCCGAACGGGUCUUUAAAAUGUAUAGAGAGGAAGGCCUCAAAGACCCCAGGAUGUCUUUUGUGGACUUUGCUGCCUCCCCCUUUUUUGCCAGGGAGCUUGAGGCUGUAAAAGAGAGGAGUGCAGCGUGGAAGAAGGUGGCAGAGGAGAGGACAAAGCGAAAGUCUGCAGUGCAGCUUCCAACAGGUCGCCUGUGCAGAUUCUGUCACCAACCACUAAAGCAGGGUCCUGUCAGCCCUCAUGUCCAUGCCUGUUUCCCUGACAUCCCAGGGAAAUACAUAUACUGCCCCUCCAGAGUGUUGUCCCUUUACAAGGACAAGGGCAUGGUCAAGGAGAUGACCUGGAUGGAGUUCCAGCAGUCAGACUUUUUUGAGGCAGAAAGGGUCCGAUGGGUUUCAGAGAAGAGGAGUUGAGGAGGACUAAUAGUCCUCUUUUCUGAAAUGAAAUGAUUAGACCUUGACUAAUCAUUUCAUAAUAUCAUAUAUGUUUACACUUUCUAUUAAAUAUAUUCUGUACAUUUGUAUUGUUCCUUUGCUUAUAUAUUAUCUCAGUUUGGACUUUGGGUGUUUAAUAACUAAUAGUCCACUUUUCUAUAAUAUUGUAUAUGUUUACACUUUUUUGUAAAUAUAUUCUGUACAUUUGAAUUGUUCCUUUGCUUACAUAUUAUCUUGAUUUAUCUUCAAUAUCAGUUUGGACUUUGGGUGUUUAAUAACUAAUAGUCCUCUUUUCUAUAAUAUUGUAUAUGUUUACACUUUUUAGUAAAUAUGUUCUGUACAUUUGCAUUGUUCCUUUGCUUGCAUGUUAACUUUAUUUAUCUUCAAUGUCAGUUUGGAUUUUGGGUGUUUAAUUAUUCAGCUCGUGUUCAUGUAGAAUUAAAUAUGACACUUUCAUCGAAGGGCAGCAACUUGUUUCUGGAUUAUUUGCUUCGUGGAGCAUAUUGUGCCUUUCAUGCAUCAUUUAUAUAAUAUAAAUAUUUUUAAUGAUG